ACUUACUCACAGAGGUCACAAUUUGGUGAUCACCGGAGCACACACACAGGGGAGAAGCCCUGCAAAUGUGAUGAAUGUGGAAAAUCCUUCUAUUGUGUGUACAUCAGCAUUGCACCUUCACCAGGGGAAACAUACAGAGAAGAAACCCUAUGAAAGUACUGAAUGUGGGACAUCCUUCUACUCUAAGUCAGGCCUAAUUAUUCAUCAGGUCUCUCAUACAGCAAAGUACCCUUAUGACUAAUGAAUGUGGAAAAACCUUCUGUGUGAAGUCUAAUCUCACUAAACAUCAUAAAAUUCACUCAGGGUUGAAACCAUAUGAAUGUAGUGAGUGUGGCAAAUCCUUUAUGAAUUUGACCCUCACUGUCCAUCAAAGAACUCAUACCAGGGAGAGACCCCAUGGGUGCAGUGAAUGUGAGAACUCCUUCUACAAAAAGUCAGACCUCACAAAACAUCAGAAAACACACAGGGGAGAAACCACACAAAUAUAGUGAAUGUGGGAAAGCCUUCUGUAUGAACUCAACCCUCAUACACCAGAGGACUCACACUGGGGUGAAAUCCUUUAAAUGCAGUGAAUGCGAGAAGUCAUUCUAUGUGAAGUUGCUUCUUAAUAGUCAUCAGAGAAAUCACACAGGAAAGAAAUCCCAUGUGUGUAAAGUAUGUGGGAAAGCCUUCUCUGAAGUCAAGCCUAACUGGUUUAUCAGAUGACACACUCAGAAGAGAAAUACUUUGAAUGUAAUGAAUGUGAGAAGUCAACCCUCAGCACCAGAGAAUACACAUGGGAGAAACCUUAAAAAUGUAAAGAAUGUAGUAAAACUUUCUUUCAGAAGUCACACCACACUUAACAUCAGUGAACACACACAGGGAGAAACCUUAUCAAUGUGAAGAAUGUGGGAAAAAUUUCCUCCAGAAAUCACAUCUCAUUGAACAUCAGAGCACACACACUGGAGAGAAACCCCAUGGGUGUAGUAAAUGUGUUAAAUGUUUCUGUUUUAAGUCAGCCCUAACCAUGCAUCAGAGGACUCACACAGAAGAGGCAGCUUAUAAAUGUAGUGAAUGUGAGAAACCUUUCUGAAAUCAUACCUCACUGUGCAUCAGAGAACUCACACAAGGAAGAACCCCUUCAAAUGUAAUGAAUGUGGAAAAAGGUUUUAUGUGAAGUCAAACCUCAUUAAUCAUCAGAGAAUCCACACAGGGGAGAAGCCCUACGAAUGUAAGAGAUGCGGGAAGUCCUUUCUGUAUGAAGUCAACCCUCACAGUACACCAGCAAACACCGCAGGGGAGAAGCCUUAUGAAUAUAAUAUGGGAAAUCCUUCUACAAGAAGUCAACUCUAAAUAUGAAGUGAUUCACACACAAGAGAUAUCCUGAAUGGCAGCAGAUGUGGAAAAUAUUCCUGUGUAGAGUCAUAUGUGUCAUACCUUUGAGAAUUCAUGGGAGAAAACUUGAGCUCAUGUACAUCAGAGAGCUCAUUAGGAGAGAGGGUCUCUGAAAAUGUUAUUUGUAGAGAGGGGGUGGAAGCAAGGUUUCUUUGAUUUUUCCUUUUUAUGAAUUUUAAAACUUUGAACAAAUGAGUGAUUUACAUAUUGAUAAGUAAAAAGAUUCUGAAAUUGAAAUCAAUGCCAAAUUGGCAACUUGACUACACAAAAGAAGUAAUUCUUUGAAGAAAUAUCGCACUCUGUUAUGAUUAUACAUCCUUAAAUGAAAGUGUUUAAGGACAAAAAUGCCAGCCAAAAAUUAUAAAAUCACUUAUCAGUUUUCUUCCUGAUAAUAUUGCUGUUUAUUUGAAUCUAUUUUGUGUACAUUGUAGGAGAAAGCUAAAAGAAAUUAUAAAAGUUACUAGGAAUCAAAACGUCCAGUUUAAGAGAUAAGACAACCAUAGAAAUCAAAGAAUUCAUGUGACCUCCCUAUGAUGACAAAUAUGAAUCAAAAAAUAUUAUUCAUUUUAAAAAUUACAUAUUUCAUAGCUCUGUCCACUGAGUAACACCCCCCAGAGUGGUGAGCAAAGUCAGUUCCCAACAUUGGCCCCUACAAGGAACUCCUUGGAGAAAGAGCUCAGUCUAGGUCACGCCCAGGGUGUGCAAGAUGAGCCUGGGCCUCCUUGGUCAAAAACGAAGGAAGCACUAAUCAAUGGGAAUGUGUCAGAGGUCAAAUGUGAGUCAAACAUGAGGCAAUGUGAAGGCACUCCCCUAGUUUUGCAGGCUGGCUGUGUUGGGUACGCCUCUAGUGCUUGACCAGGCUGGUUCCACUCUGCCUUAGUCUUCACUUCCAGCUUACAGAGUUGCUAGGUGAGUGCAUAGGGACUUUCCACAUCUUUUCUGAGUCAUGUCCCACCCUGCACACAUACAAUGUGCACAUGGAAGCUUUUAAAAGCUCUUAUCCCCACACACAUCAGUUUUCCAACCUCUUCCUUCCCCGGCUUCUCAGUAUGUCUGCUGCUCACCUUGACUAUUAUCCUGCCCCAGGUUGCUGCCCCCAGUACUUGUGCCUUUAAAUGCCUUUGGCAACAGCCAUCUGGGAAGACUGCUCUAAGCCCAGGAGACAACAAAGGGAAGCCCUGCUCCCUUCUUACAGACAGUGGCCAACAGGUGAGAUAUACAGCCCAGUUCCAUGGGAAUGAAGUCUGAUUCUUGCCUGCCUCAGGAGCCUGUACCUGGAGCACCAGUUGUCACCCAUUGGCUGCUGACCUGAGGUGUGGGGGGAUGUUGGCUGGGCAGCUCUGCCAGAAAAGGCACAGGUAUCAUUUAGGCAACUGAGCCAUAAAAUUCUGGUUAAAACUGAACAGAAUAAAACAUUAUUGAGGAUUGUAA